GAUGAACGCUAGCGGGAGGCCUAACACAUGCAAGCCGAGCGGUAUUUGUUCUUCGGAACAGAGAGAGCGGCGCACGGGUGCGGAACACGUGUGCAACCUGCCUUUAUCUGGGGGAUAGCCUUUCGAAAGGAAGAUUAAUACCCCAUAAUAUAUUGAGUGGCAUCACUUGAUAUUGAAAACUCCGGUGGAUAGAGAUGGGCACGCGCAAGAUUAGAUAGUUGGUGAGGUAACGGCUCACCAAGUCAAUGAUCUUUAGGGGGCCUGAGAGGGUGAUCCCCCAAACUGGUACUGAGACACGGACCAGACGCCUACGGGAGGCAGCAGUGAGGAAUAUUGGACAAUGGGUUAGCGCCUGAUCCAGCCAUCCCGCGUGAAGGACGACGGCCCUAUGGGUUGUAAACUUCUUUUGUAUAGGGAUAAACCUACUCUCGUGAGAGUAGCUGAAGGUACUAUACGAAUAAGCACCGGCUAACUCCGUG
rnacentral:rRNA from 1 species